rnacentral:lncRNA from 1 species
GAUAUCCUGUAUGUCUCAAAGCAUUUUGUAGAACUUUAGAACAUAGCAUUUUUAUUCAAUAUGAAUUUGGAAAACAACUCCAAGAUAGCCAAGAUAUCUAUUUUUUCUAGAUAAAUAACAAAACACAGAAAACAAAAGGGAAGUGAGAAAUGGAAAAACUGACUUGGCCUCUCUUUCAGAGUGGAGCUGUGACUUGGCUUCCUGUGCCUCCUACCACCUACCUCUUUUUUAUGUUUAAACCUCUGAAACUCAGCAUUUUGGCGUCUGAGAAUGCUGUGGUCUGAAUGUCUGUGCCUCCCCAAAAUUCAUAUGCUGACAACCUACUCACCAAGCAGAGCAGCCUGAAUAUGCAAAGACCAACAAUAUGCUGCAUUUUUCCUAUGAAGACUGUGGCCAGUCUUUGCUGUGAAAAAAUACUCUCUGGUAACUUUUCUGUGGGUCCUCAUCACACAAUUUGCCUCAUGUUGUACUGCGAUGAGGUCAGUGUUUUCUAAUAAUGAGAAAUUCUCCAUCUUCAAGGCCAGUAGCUAGUGCCCAGGGGCUACAGGAAGGACAUGUUGGUUUCAGCUGGUGACAGUCCCAUCCUACGGUAGCAGCUGGCUUGUCGUCUGAAGGAGCCAGGCUCAACAAAAAGAGAACUGUGAGCUCUUUGUGGGAGCCUUUGGGCUGCCCAUGGCCUAUGCUGAGCCCCACCUUUCUGACAUGAGGCCUCCCCAGGGCUCCUUAAGCUUCUAGAUUUUUCUCAGGAUUCCUCUGUGUCUGGUGUUGAAUAUGCUGAAUAUCAAUCUACAAUCAAUACAGUGUUGCCUGGAGGCACCUCUUGCUUCAAAUUUGCUUCACAAAUCUGCUGCAGUGACAGAAAGCUAAGACAGCUGCAGAAAAAGCCAACCCUGCUGAUUCCUUCAUCUUGGACUUGCAGCCUCCAGAACUGUGAGCAAAUGAACAUCUGUUGUUUAAGCCACCCAGUCUGUGGUACUGUGUUAUGGCAGCCCCAGCAAUCUAAUGCAGAGGGGAAAGUGGGUUUGGGUGCAGAAAAAAUUAUAUUUAAACAUCAAAUUGCUUCUAGAAAAAGCCAAAGUAUAAACCAUGAUAAAGGAGAGAGAAGAGAAGGAAGGGGCUUGGCAAGGAUCCGGCAGUGGAAUGGGACAGACUUUCAACACCUUGCCAUGCGAUCUUUCCCCACAAACUCCUGUGUGACCCACAUAUGAAUUCUCACUGAGAGACACAGACUGAAAGAGGCUUGGCCUGAAGAAUUUGCCAGAGGGCACAGGGAGCAUGGCUUAUUUCUUGGGAGAUGACAACAGGUCAAUUUGAUCCUACACUGUAGAAUUUUCUCCAGAUGAAAAACCUAGAAACAUCAGUGCUGGUUCCAGUUGGAAAGAAAUAAUGGAAGAGAGAUGUGAAGAUGCCCAGG